rnacentral:rRNA from 1 species
GACGAACGCUGGCGGCGUGCUUAACACAUGCAAGUCGAGCGAUGAAGCACCUUCGGGUGUGAAUUAGCGGCGAACGGGUGAGGAACACGUGAGAAAUCUGCCUUCAACACUGGGAUAACUCCGGGAAACCGGGGCUAAUACCGGAUAUGAAACCUGCGGGCAUCCGCGGGUUUGGAAAGUUUUUCGGUUGAAGAUGAUCUCGCGGCCUAUCAGCUUGUUGGUGAGGUAAUGGCUCACCAAGGCGACGACGGGUAGCCAGCCUGAGGGGGCGACCGGGCACACUGGGACUGAGGCACGGGCCAGACUCCUACGGGAGGCAGCAGUGGGGAAUAUUGGGCAAUGGAGGAAACUCUGACCCAGCGACGCCGCGUGCGGGAUGAAGGCCUUCGGGUUGUAAACCGCUUUCAGCAGGGAAGAAGCGAAAGUGACGGUACCUGCAGAAGAAGCACCGGCUAACUAUGUGCCAACAGCCGCGGUAA